rnacentral:rRNA from 1 species
AUUGAACGCUGGCGGCAGGCCUAACACAUGCAAGUCGAACGAGUGGCGGACGGGUGAGUAAUGUCUGGGAAACUGCCCUAUGGAGGGGGAUAACUACUGGAAACGGUCGCUAAUACCCAAUACCAUAGGAUGUUCCCAGAUGGGAUUAGCUAGUAGGUGGGGUAACGGCUCACCUAGGAGACGAUCCCUAGCUGGUCUGAGAGGAUGACCAGCCACGCUGGAACUGAGACACGGUCCAGACUCCUACGGGAGGCAGCAGUGGGGAAUAUUGCACAAUGGGCGCAAGCCGGAUGCAGCCAUGCCGCGUGUAUGAAGAAGGCCUUCGGGUUGUAAAGUACUUUCAGCGAGGAGGCGUUACUCGCAGAAGAAGCACCGGCUAACUCCGUGCCAGCAGCCGCGGUAAUUC